rnacentral:lncRNA from 1 species
CACUAUGGAAAUGUUUGUUAGUGUAGCUAGUGGCGACGACUAAUGCUAGCUACAUAGUAACGAACUAGUGGAAUGAGAAGGGUAUAAAAGGGUGGUGUGUAGCAAUUGUGAUAUAUGCAUUGUUGGGAAGUAAUAAGGCAAGAAAUGGGGAGAGUAGUAUAUGGGGUGGUUUUGGUUGUUGUUGUGAUGAUUAUAAGUCCUUGUUUGGUUAAUGGGAGAAAUAAUUUUCAUGAGAAGACAAGGGAUGGCAAUGGCGUGAACUCUACUCAUGCAGUUUCUCGUGGAGACCAGAGUUUUGUGAAAGAUNNNN